CUCAUUCCAUUUGCUAUCGUGUUCAUCUCUCAGCCUAUCCACGCCUCCUCCUUAUUGAUAAACCAGGGUUUUUUUCCUUUACAUCUAUUCUUCCUAACCCUAAUCUCAUUUCCCCCAAAUUUCUGUUGUUUCAAAAAAUGUUUGUUCUCUCCUCUAUCCUCAAUCUAUUGUAAAAUGUCAUCUUCUACAUCAAAGAUCUACUUUUUUUCAAGUCUUCACCUUCAUCGCAAACCCUAAUCACAAUCUAGGGCUUAAACAAGUUUUUCCACCUAUAUGUGGUUGUUAUUUCCUGGUCUGUGAACGGCGAAAGACCAGAUUUCCUGGUCUGUGAACGGCGGCAUCUAAAACCAUAAGUGUAUGAAGCUGCUAAGUCAUCAUUUGCAGCGUUUAAGGCCGAGCGAAUGGGUAGACCGAGAUUUCAGAUUUCAGAAAGCUUCUGUUCUUGGUAGAAAGAGGAAACCGAUUGGGGAGUAAUUUCUCAUUAGGUGAACCAAGUGCUGCUGACUAACCACUGCUUGUGCGGUUCACAGGCUUCAGGUUUGGUUUAAUUAUGUUUCAAAGUCGUGUGGUUUGUUGCAUUGUUCACAGUUGUUUUAGGCUGAGGUAAUCUGACAAUGUAAAGUGUGCAUUUGUCUAAACUUGCUAUAUCUCUGUCAGAAUAGAUAAGGGGUGUUCACGGGUUUAAAUUUUGUAAUUUGCAUAAGCUUUUAGUUAGACAGCAUCGGAAUACAAUAUCUCGGAAGUGUUUUUGAUA